rnacentral:rRNA from 1 species
UCUCCUGGGAAACGGGUGGUAAUGCCGGAUGCUCCAUCACACCGCAUGGUGUGUUGGGAAAGCCUUUGCGGCAUGGGAUGGGGUCGCGUCCUAUCAGCUUGAUGGCGGGGUAACGGCCCACCAUGGCUUCGACGGGUAGCCGGCCUGAGAGGGCGACCGGCCACAUUGGGACUGAGAUACGGCCCAGACUCCUACGGGAGGCAGCAGUGGGGAAUAUUGCACAAUGGGCGCAAGCCUGAUGCAGCGACGCCGCGUGAGGGAUGGAGGCCUUCGGGUUGUAAACCUCUUUUGUUAGGGAGCAAGGCACUUUGUGUUGAGUGUACCUUUCGAAUAAGCACCGGCUAACUACGUGCCAGCAGCCGCGGUAAUACGUAGGGUGCAAGCGUUAUCCGGAAUUAUUGGGCGUAAAGGGCUCGUAGGCGGUUCGUCGCGUCCGGUGUGAAAGUCCAUCGCUUAACGGUGGAUCCGCGCCGGGUACGGGCGGGCUUGAGUGCGGUAGGGGAGACUGGAAUUCCCGGUGUAACGGUGGAAUGUGUAGAUAUC